rnacentral:lncRNA from 1 species
GAUUUUCUGAAUGGAGCAUGGUAGCACGCUAUAGAGUCCAAGGAAUUUGCCAAAUCCGUGUGAGAAGGUUUGCCUCUCACAUGUGAGAGAAUUUUUUGAGAAAAAAAAAUCCUGACCCCGUCCCCCUGCCACCACCCGAGUGAGGCAGACUGACAGAGCACAUUGGCUUGCUGUGGAGACAAGAUCAGGGAAAGCGCCUCUGAAAAGAAAGCAUUUUGGAAGUCCUGAAGGUGGAGAAGGAGAUUUAGAGGAAGAGUGAUAAAUCAGAAGUCUUCGUCCAAGAAUUAGCUUUGCACCAUCUACAGACCUAAGCAGCUGCAGUCCUGGAACUGUGUGAUAACUUGCCCAGAAAUUCUUCUUGUGGAAUCUGUCUUUACAUGGAAACGACUUGGCAAUAUUUGUACAGCAACUGGAAGAAAGGUCUUUGCUGAGAUAUACAAAGAGGCAGAAUGUGUGUGGAUCACCG